GAUGAACGCUGGCGGCGUGCCUAAUACAUGCAAGUAGAACGCUGAAGGAAGGAGCUUGCUCUUUCCGGAUGAGUUGCGAACGGGUGAGUAACGCGUAGGUAACCUGCCUGGUAGCGGGGGAUAACUAUUGGAAACGAUAGCUAAUACCGCAUAACAGUAGAUGUUGCAUGAUAUCUACUUAAAAGGUGCAAUUGCACCACUACCAGAUGGACCUGCGUUUUAUUAGCUAGUUGGUGAGGUAACGGCUCACCAAGGCGACGAUACAUAGCCGACCUGAGAGGGUGAUCGGCCACACUGGGACUGAGACACGGCCCAGACUCCUACGGGAGGCAGCAGUAGGGAAUCUUCGGCAAUGGACGGAAGUCUGACCGAGCAACGCCGCGUGAGUGAAGAAGGUUUUCGGAUCGUAAAGCUCUGUUGUAAGGGAAGAACGAGUGUGAGAGUGGAAAGUUCACACUGUGACGGUAUCUUACCAGAAAGGGACGGCUAACUACGUG
rnacentral:rRNA from 1 species